GAGUUUGAUCGUGGCUCAGAGUGAACGCUGGCGGUAGGCCUAACACAUGCAAGUCGAACGGUAACAGGUCUUUCGGGAUGCUGACGAGUGGCGGACGGGUGAGGAAUACAUCAGAAUCUGCUCAGUCGUGGGGGAUAACGCAUGGAAACGUGCGCUAAUACCGCAUACGACCUUCGGGUGGAAGCAGGGGAAUCUUUAGGGAUCCUUGCGCGAUUGAAUGAGCCGAUGUCGGAUUAGCUAGUUGGUAGGGUAAAAGCCUACCAAGGCGACGAUCCGUAGCUGGUCUGAGAGGAUGAUCAGCCACACUGGGACUGAGACACGGCCCAGACUCCUGCGGGAGGCAGCAGUGGGGAAUAUUGGACAAUGGGGGCAACCCUGAUCCAGCCAUACCGCGUGGGUGAAGAAGGCCUUCUGGGUUGUAAAGCCCUUUUGUUGGGGAAGAAAAACAACGGGUUAAUACCCCGUUGGUAUGACGGUACCCAAAGAAUAAGCACCGGCUAACUUCGUGCCAGCAGCCGCGGUAAUACGAAGGGUGCAAGCGUUACUCGGAAUUACUGGGCGUAAAGGGUGCGUAGGUGGUUGCGCCAGUCUGUCGUGAAAGCCCUGGGCUUAACCUGGGAAUGGCGAUGGAAACUGUGCAACUAGAGUGUGACAGAGGGUGGUGGAAUUCCUGGUGUAGCAGUGAAAUGCGUAGAGAUCAGGAGGAACAUUCGUGGCGAAGGCGGCCACCUGGGUCAACACUGACACUGAGGCACGAAAGCGUGGGGAGCAAACAGGAUUAGAUACCCUGGUAGUCCACGCCCUAAACGAUGCGAACUGGAUGUUGGGUCCAACUUGGGAUUCAGUAUCGAAGCUAACGCGUUAAGUUCGCCGCCUGGGGAGUACGGUCGCAAGACUGAAACUCAAAGGAAUUGACGGGGGCCCGCACAAGCGGUGGAGUAUGUGGUUUAAUUCGAUGCAACGCGCAGAACCUUACCUGGCCUUGACAUGCACGGGAGUCUUUAGAGAUAGAG
rnacentral:rRNA from 1 species